rnacentral:lncRNA from 1 species
GUCUCCAAGCCUGCGAUUCUUUGUUUUUCUCACUUUAAAAGCUGAAGCAUAGGGGGCUGGCGCUGUGGCGUGGCAGGUAAAGCCUCUGCCUGAAGCGCCGGCGUCCCACACGGGCGCUGGUUCAAGUCCCGGCUGCUCCACUUCCUAUUCAGCCCUCUGCUAAUGCACCUGGGAAAGCAGUGGAAGAUGGCCCAAGUCCUUGGGUCCCUGCACCCACGUGGGAGACGUGGAGGAAGCUCCUGGUUCCUAGCUCUGGAUUGGGCCAGCUCCAGCUGUUGUGGCCAUUUGGGGAGGGAACCAGUGAAUGGAAGACCUUUUUCUCUGUCUCUUUCUCUCUCUGUAACUCUGCCUCUCAAAUAAAAAUAAAUCUUUUUUUAAAAAAAGUUGCAGUAUAUAAAAUGUUUGGCAUGGGGUCUGCUACAGAGAAAGCCUUCAAACAUUAGUCAGAAAAACAGUAUAAAUAUUAGUGCAAUAAAAAUUAAAACAGGCCGGCGCCAUGGCUCAAUAGACAUCCUCCGCCUAGUGGCGCCGGCACACCGGGUUCUAGUCCCGGUUGGGGCACUGGAUUCUGUCCUGGUUGUCCCUCUUCCAGGCCAGCUCUCUGCUGUGGCCAGGGAGUACAGUGGAGGAUGGCCCAAGUGCUUGGGCCCUGCACCCCAUGGGAGACCAGGAGAAGCACCUGGCUCCUGCCUUCGGAUCAGCGUAGUGCGCCGGCCGCAGCACGCCAGCCGUGGCGGCCAUUGGAGGGUAAACCAACGGCAAAGGAAGACCUUUCUCUCUGUCUCUCUCUCUCUCUCACUGUCCACUCUGCCUGUCAAAAAAAAAAAAAAUUUAAAACAAUCCUCUAAACCAGAACAAAACCAUGAAAACUUGGCAAAUUCAAAGACAUGUCCAAAGAGAUCGCAGAAUUUUAGAGCUGCAUUAGCCAACAGACCAUCGACCCAGAACUCCCAUCUGGUGGAUGCAGUAGAGGAGGCCCGAAGCCAGGAGGACGGCCAGGAUGCAGGCGACGGACAGGAAGGUCAGCACGAUGAACUUGGUGGAGUCCUCUUGCUCCGCCUGGUGUGGCAGGAGCUUCAGCUGGCUUUUCUGCAGACCAAGGAAAAGAGGGGGCAAGUUAGGCCUUCGCAAACCACGCCCCCCUGAAAAGCCAAGCUCCGCCAAGGCAGAGGGUGGUAGGGUCAGACCAGACAGCACCCCCCCCUCCCAAGGGGAGCAGAAGUGACUUCAAAAUAGCACUCCGCAGGCUGCAAUUCUCUAGGAGGGAGUUGGAGGCAUCAGUCCCCCACGGUGGGUGGCUGUGUUUCAAAGUUAAGGUAUCUGGCAGCUAAUUUGCUGUCUUAAAUCAAGUAUCCGUCCCUUCUUCUAAACCGGUGCACCUGUAUAUCCAGGGCGUGCACGGAACGCAGGCCUGGCUUUAUCCGCUUUCACAGUCACCCGAGCCCCAGGCGUUCUGCCGUCCCGGGAAAUGCUCCCUGGCCAUUCCAGGCGUCCCCCUGGCGUGCGUGGUCCCGCCAACUCCAGCGCAGACCCCAGCACCUGCCGCCGAAGCGCUGUUCCCGGAACGGAACCGCCAGCCCUCCGCUGCCGGGCGGCCCGGGAAGUUCCCCGUCUCGGCCGUGCAGGGUGGGGGAGUAGGAGAAGGUCCCCCCCACCCCCUGGCGCGCUGCGCUCGUCUCCACGUGCAGCGCGCUGCACGGCGCUCCCCUCAUUAGCUUCAUUAGGAGGUGUAUUAGCGACCCUUCAACACGCCACAGCCAAACCGCCCGAGACCCCCGGCCAGCAGACCCCCGCCCCACGCCCCCCACAAUUACUGGGGAAAUGAAUGGGAAAGCACGCCCUGCCUCAGUCCCGGUUUGCUACAAGAGGAGAACAAUUAGCAAACUCUUUUCCACCACCUAAUUUCGCGUGGUAACAAAAUGGAUUUUUCCCCAUGAAAGGCCCGGCCGGCCUAUUCAUUAUCUCUCCUCUAUUACUAAUUUUCUGCUCCGCAUCAGCCUCCCAACUCUUCCAUUUCCUCCUGUCUCCGAGUGUACACAGUGCCUCUGUGUCAGGCCGGGCCCAGUUUUAUCUUGUAAUCAUAAAGGCCACGAAAGCAAUUAUCGCCGGUCUUGACUGCGAAAGCUGGUCAUUAAUUAGCCUCCGG